rnacentral:tRNA from 1 species
GCCUUCGUGGCGCAACGGUAGCACAGUCGGCGCGUAUUCGAAAUGUUCAGGUUCGAGUCCGGGCGAAGGCA